AGCGAACGCUGGCGGCAGGCCUAACACAUGCAAGUCGAACGAAGUCUUCGGACUUAGUGGCGGACGGGUGAGUAACACGUGGGAACGUACCUUUUGGUUCGGAACAACUCAGGGAAACUUGAGCUAAUACCGGAUGAGCCCUUAGGGGGAAAGAUUUAUCGCCGAAGGAGCGGCCCGCGUUAGAUUAGCUAGUUGGUGAGGUAAAGGCUCACCAAGGCUACGAUAUAUAGCUGGUCUGAGAGGAUGGUCAGCCACACUGGGACUGAGAAACGGCCCAGACUCCUACGGGAGGCAGCAGUGGGGAAUCUUGCGCAAUGGGCGAAAGCCUGACGCAGCCAGGCCGCGUGAAUGAUGAAGGUCUUAGGAUUGUAAAAUUCUUUUACCAGGGACGAUAAUGACGGUACCUGGAGAAAAAGCCCCGGCUAACUUCGUGCCAGCCGCCGCAGUAACAC
rnacentral:rRNA from 1 species